UUUUUUGAAAUGUUGUGUUUUACAUUAGCAACAACUUUAAAUUUCGUGUUUUAUAGAUACAUUACCAAAUUAUACUAUUUCGAGGACACGUGUAUCAAAAUCGAUGAAUAAGGUCACAAAUAUGUGAAACAUUUCCGCUUCUUACUUCCUCGGUGUCAAGCCAUCUCAUGUGCUCGCUACUCAGGGCUGCCAACCUGUUUCUUUCUACGGACUCCUGUUCAAAGGAAAUGAAAAGGAGUAAACAAACAAGGGAUGGCAUGAAACAGAAAACAGGAAUGCAUCGCCUCCUGACCAACAAAACAUUUGCGAAUUAAUUCCAAUGUGUCUUUUUAAUUCUUAUAGGUGCAAGAAUAAGUAUUAAUGAUAUGGUUAUCCUAUCAAGUAUCUAGAAUUAUCCAUAGACUAGUAUAAAUGUAAGUGUUGAGAAUAUUGUAAUCCACGUCCAUAAAGACUUAUUCUCAUUUAAGAGUAAUAUAAUAGAAUCUAUGGAGCCCAACGAGAGAAUUAGAACUUUGCAUCAAAAGAAACACAGAAGAGGCCAAGAAAGGCUAGGUGAAGGUUGACAGGUUCUUAUAUAAGAGAUGAGGUGGUACAAGAGAGAUCCCAUAUGAAGAAAAGAAGAGAGAGCUCUAGCUUAAAGAGACGGAAAAUGGACAAGGAGCCAUGAUAGAAGGCAGCAAUCUGAUGAAGAGAUGGCCAAAUACAAAGGUCACUUGAAAAACCAAAUCUUGAAAGAGAGAUGUUUGACUAAUGAAAUGUGGCAAUAAUGACAAGAGGAGAAAAAUGACUAAGAGUAGCCAUGUUAAGACCAAUACAAUUGCUAAAGCAAAGAGAUUGAAGAGAUGCUCAAGAUGAAGAUGUAAGAAAAAGGAAAUUAUGGCAGCAAAGUAGUCUUCUAACCAACUAUAAUGAGACAGUAGCUACAACAAGGCAAUGAUUGUGUGCCAAGGGAAAUGGUAACAAGAAUAAGAAAGUUUGCAUGCAUCGGCAACACAUUUUUUAAUUUCAAGGAUUGUGAGAUUUUUAAAAUUAAGGGGGUGUUGGAAUUAAUUUUGAAGUCUACAUCAAGUGUCCUUUUACUUCUUCAACGAGCAUAUAUAAGUACUAAUGAUAUUGUUAUCCUAUUAAGUAUCUAGAAUUAUCCACACACUAGUAUAAAUAUAUGUGUUGAGUGUAUUGUAAUACAAGUCCAAGUCCAUAGGGACUUCCUCUCAUUUGAGAGUAAUAUAAUAUAAGUUAGAGUUCCCUUCCUACCUUCUCUCCUAAUUUUCUCUAACAACAGUUACUGACAUCAGAGAAACACAUGGCAAGAGAUGUAAAGAGGAGAAUAUGUGCCUCACUUUGGUAUGAAAUGAGAUAGAGCAGGGGAAACCGUGUUCCUGGGAUAUAUCUUUUCAUAAUCAAGUGAACGGGGCAGAGAGAAAAUCAAGCAUGAUUUUUGGCGGCAUAAAGCAAAAGUGAACAACCUAGCACUGCACGCAUUUCCAAUGUCUUAUGUACUUUGUUGCUUAAAUACGAAACAUCUGUAACAAAAGAAUGGCAACAAAAAUAAUUUGGUCUUGACUCAUAGUAUUAGUAGACAAUGGUUCUGACAAUUGAAUAUGUCAUUCUAUCCGAUAGGUACAUUUUCUCUAUCAUAUUUCUAUGAAGAAUCAUCAGGAUUUUAAGCUUCUUAUUAACAGGAAAUGGAUUGGGUAAUGUGCACAAGUAAUAUCAGCCUAAACUUUUAAUGAGCUUCGUGCAUCCAUUCAUAUGCUAAAUUUUCUAUAUUUAUGGUUUGUAGAUUAUGGUCCUUGAUAUUUAACUACACAGCCUUUCAUAUGCUAAAUUGUCUAAAGUCAUGGGCAAGAAGAUCAUGGCAGUGACAAUUAACUACACAAUGCCAUACAGUAAUUCAAGGAUGAGAAAUAUGAAACUUAAUAUCAAUUGGAAAUGGCAAGUGAACAAAGAACAUUUUGAUAAAAAGAUGAACACAAAUUAGUAUCAGCCAGCAGUACAGGUCAUUGAUCUUAAGUAAUUUAAUUGGUUUCAAUUCUUUGCCAGAACACAUGCAAGAAAGCAAAAGGCACCAAUAUGCCAACAUACAAAGAAGAAAGCUUCAAUUUUGCAGGUCCUACUAGUUCUUGGUGACAUGCUCUGCAUGGAUGUCCUUAAGAGAUACUAUCCAUUGUAUGCCUAGUAAAGUUUAAAACAUGUACAGAUGACUAAUUAAGGGUUGUUCAGCAAGCACUUACCUGCAUGGCUCUUGCUCCAAAGGACCUGACCAUCUACAGUGGUAAGGUGUUCAUCAUCAAGGCGCUUCCAUGUUUUGAUAGACUUGACAGCUCCCCAACCUCCUUGCUCUGUCUUUUCCAAAGAUGCCAGCACCACCCUCGCUCUCCUUGACCACCCUGCCUUCCCAUAGGCAUGGUAUCCAAAACCCCCAGCAUAACAAAGUUGUAUACCAGUAAGCUCACCACAGAAGUCAUUGAGAUGAUCAUGUCCGGUGAAAACACCUUUCACAUCCCCAGCUUCUACCAUGGUUGUGAAGAAGCCCGAGUUCACAGAAGCAGAGCUAAUGCCUUCUUGUCUCACUCCUGUGAAGUUUGAUGAAUCAAAACUUGCAAAUUCAGGCAAUGGGAUGUGAAAGUACACCAGCCCAGGUGCAGGUCCUUUCUGAGCCUCUGGCUGUCUCAUGUAUGCUCUCUGAAUGGAAAGGGAAAAAUGGGAAUUCAACAGCUAAUAAUUAAGCUAAUGCACCUUUUAGAAGUUAAGACUAUGCAUAAUGUAGAUUCUACUUGUGUGUAGACAAACUAGUGAUUCUUUUUACUGAUAAAUGAUGGAAGUAAAUCAUACAGUGACCUUCAAAUUACUUCAACCGUAUAAAAGAGUGGUGUUAUUACCCGAAGCUUCGCAGAGGUGCGUUGGAACCAAAGCUGCUGCGAGGGUUUAAUCCAACCAUAGCCAGGGAUUGCCGGGACUGUGGAGUAGUCUCCGCUAUCAAGGAAAUAAAGAUUAAGAGCUGAUUUAUUUUCAAAUCGUGAACCUUUAACCCCGCCAAUCUCCAGGUUAUAGUUCCCAAAACCAUCAAUGAUGUGUACCUCCGCAGGAUUGACUUGAGAGAGAGUAUUCUUAAGGCCAACAAUAUGUUUCAUUACCCCUUCCCUUGACAAAGUGGAUUCUUGGUCAUGGUUCCCCAAAAUAGCAGCCCACGGGAUGUUUGAUGCAAUUGCAGGCUGAAAUGCAGCACUCAGUGAUUUUGCAGCAUCCGUGGCAUCAAAGCCAAAGAUGUUAUCCCCUAUUUCCCAAAGUAACAAUAAUACUUCCAUUAGCUCAGAUUGUGAAAGGAGCAUACUUGUUAGAGCUUACCCACUACAUGCCAUAUAUACUGUUACCAAAUUAGGAAACAUGCUUCGGUAAACAAAUUAACAACUGGGUUUUGUUGUUUAUAUCCAAAUUUCAGAAUAACAAUCAUGUAUAGACCAAAAAAAAAAAAAAAAAAAAUCAGAACCAAGAACAUAACUAGGAAUUAGAAAAGGAAAGGGUAAAUAAGAGUAUAACGGGUACCAGUGAAAACAAUAAAAUCGGGCUUCUCAGCUUGAAUCAUGCGCUCAACAAAGGCAGUGGUGUUGAGGUCAGAGCAAGUAGGCAUCUGAUUUGGGAACACAUCGAGGCAAGACGUGGUCUUGCCAUCCGCAAAGUGCAUAUCUGCCACUUGCAGUAUCUUGAACUCUCCAUUUUUUCUAAAUCGCAGCUCUUUUUUCACACCCAACACAGAUUUUGGAACGAAGAAGCAUAGAGAAAAAACCACAACCCCCAAAAAGUGGGAGGGUGAAAUUCUUGGUGUGUUCUUCUUCGCCAUCGUUGUUACCUACUUAAAAUCAGCAAACCCGAUGCCUUCAGCAUUGUCUUACAGCUAGAUAUAGGGAGAGUGAGUCUAGUCCUAGUUUGGCAUGUAGCCUAGAGCUAAAGUGUGCAAGUCAAAAUCACAUUCAAGACAAAGAAAGCUUCACAUACUGAUCAUCUUCUUAAUAAAAUCAGAUUAAAUAUUUAAUAGUGCCCAAAAGGAUAUUCCUUUCCUUGUUGCGUAGUCAUUGAAGGGUGUCUUUUUUUUCUAUAAAAAUAUUUGUGUUAGAAUCAAACAGGAUUUUUGGGCAACGCGAGGUGGAGGACAGGGACUGUUUUAUGUUCUAGCUCUUUUACUCAAAUAUUAUUUUAUUUAGAUCUUAAUUUUGUGAACUCUACGAUCAACUCAAAAAAAGUAUUUGAUUGAAACAUUAAAAACAUGAUGAAUAAAAAAAAAUUCAUGUAUUUUAUUAAAAUAAAAUAAAAAGUAGAGUAUAAGUAGUGAUUUAGAGCUUCUUUUUUUUUUGUAUUUCAAAAGUAAUUUAAAAAAAAUUUAAAACAUUAAUAUUUUUUUAAUUUUAAAUUAAUUUUUUUGAAGUUUAGAUCAUUUUGAUAUUAUUAUAUUAAAAAUAAAAUUUUUAAAGUUUUUUUAAUAUAUUUUUAAAUAAAAAAUAUUUUUUAAAAACAAAAAUUACUAUAUCCUUUAAAGUUAAAUGAUGUGUUAUCAAAUAAUAGAAAAAUUAAUGAAAGAUAGGCUGAACUUAUUUGGAAAUUUUGAAAAAAUCGAUGUAUUUAAAUAAAAAAAUAUUAAAUUUCAUAUACUAGAUUAAAAAUAAGAGGAAAAGAUAAUGUACUAAUAUUGUAAUUAGUUCUUUAUUUAUUUAUGACAAAUUGAUCUUUUUAUGUUUGUCUACAGCAAUGUGAUGUUUUUUUUUAACUUUAAAUGAAUGUUUAGAAAUUCUGUAAUUUUUAUUUUUGGAUUUCACUUGAAAAUUAUUAAAUUAAUAAUUUUAAUAUGUUAAUAUUAAAAAUAAAAAAAAUAUUAUUUUAAUAUAUUUUUAAAUAAAAAAUAUUUUUUAAAAAUAAUUUAAACUACAAUAUAAAAUACAUGUUAAAUCCUCUUUAAAAACAGUAAAUUGCUUCAAUAUCUAAUAAUUUUUUUAAAUAUUAGUUUCAACGAGAAAAAUAUCAUUUUUUUAAAAUUUAAAUUUUAUUUAAAAUUAAUUUUUAUAUUAUUUUAAUGUACUAAUAUAAGAAUAAAUUUUAAAAAAUAAAAAUAAAAUUAUUUUAAUAUAUUUAUAAAUAAAAACACAAUCACCGAAACAUUCCAAAACAGGAUAAUAGUUGUCGUCGCCGAAACGGAUCUUGACACGUGAUUUGGUUGCACAUGUAACGAGGCUCAUGGACCAAACACAAAAAUAAUAUUAACUGGCAAAGUCCAAAAGGAAGAAAAACAUCAAGCUAUCAUUAUUAACACAGCCAUUAUUGAUACAACAGCUUUGAUGUGGAGAUUGAAAAUAAAAAAGCCGCUGCGUUGACAAUGUCACAGGACCUUGAACCCUCUGGCUUCUUUUGCUUUUUCAUUCUGAGAUAUUCACGGACCUGUAAUUAGAUCCAAGUUGUUCUCUAACUGGGUCCAACGCAGGCCGUCUACCCACAACCACCGUGAAGGAGCAGGCUACUUUCGGCCGGAUAAGCCUCAAAAUACAAGGCCAUCUACAUUAACAACACUACCGAGCUGCUAGCAUUGGCGAGCCUUCAACUCACACGACCAGCCCUCCAUGUUCCGAAAGAGUUGAGGGACUCGGAUGCUUUACUGAGAUGGCAACUGAUAGACAGAACUGACAGGGAAAGAGCAAGAGACCACGAUUUAUUUGAUGUCUUCUGCACGGGGAAUUCAAUAAGAUUUCCAUAUCUAGUAUGUCGAAAUGACAUCCGUUUCAACUUUCUAGCUUGCUUUUUAAGUUGAUCGAGCAAACACGAUAUGUUUCUAAACAAAUAGGUUUUCUCGGAUUUGAAAAUUCAGUAUUGUCUGAUUCACUUGCAUUCAUUUCAGGUGAUAACCAAUCACAAGGGCAUCAAUCAGAAUAUCAAAACUUUAUUACAAACUAUCAGAAGCUUGAGGAAACAAUUUGACAAAAAAGAGUUAAAUGAGUAAAACAGAUCUUGGGUGUACAACAAUCUGUUGUUACCAUCACAUCGGUCUUAUCAAUUGUGAUUUGAGGGGGCAAUUCAAAAAACUCCCAAUUCUUUCACUCUCCAGCAUAAACAAUAGUAAACUCAUAUCUACCAAAUGAAGCAUGCAAAAAUGUCAGUUCUGUUAUUUUGAUCCCGAACAAAACGACAAUAAGGAUCAGCGACAGUUAAUUACAGAGAAACAUAUUGCCUUCUGGUGCACAGGACAUUACAGGGAUAAAUCAAGAUCAUUACGAUCCAAUACUGCUCAAUGCUUGGUACAUUACCUACUGGCUUCACCAUUCAGAGUCGGAGAUUUAGGAUGUAUGCUGCCGGUCCAUGCUUCAUAUGCUCUUUCCUGAUGAUUUUUUCGAGUACGUUAUGCAGAGACCACUGAAAGAAGAGUAGAGAGCAAUAAGUUCCAGGGAUCUCCGAUCUAUUAAGGCUAACUCAACGGAUAAUCGCGAGUAGUACUCUUAUCUAGUAAAUCUCUUGAAGGAUUGGUCAAUUUUCCAUAUGUGUAGGUGUCUGGUAUUGGCUCUUCUAGUUUUAUUGCUACUUGGAUCUUGCUACCGUGCAUGGUGGGCAGUCUCUCUGGAAGUUGGCACAAAAUAAGAGAUCAAGUCACUAAAGUAACCGAGAAACGAGAGGCAAUGAAAACCCAUGACCCAACUAAACAUUUUUAAGUACCUCUGUCUCUUCAGCAUUGUAGAGCGACUUGUUCGGUGCAUUACAUGCUUAACUGGAAGAUUUGUCAGUGCGAUUUUCGUUGUACAGAUGGCUAUUAAUUCCAAUCUGGCGUUCCAGUCUGUUCCAUUCUGCAUUCUGCAUUCUGCUGGUCAAUAACAGCAACAGAGUGGCGAGACAUUGACUUGAACAACUAGUUUAUGGCUCUAGAUGGAGCCUGAUUCAACCCAGGUAUGGCACAAAUGCUCGCUUCAAGAUUAUCUGGAAGGGGUUCUUGAGAGAAUUAUUCACUUGCCAGCACAACUAAUUCUUGUGAUCCUUGAACAAUUCUCGUGAGGAAAAAUUUGUUUCAAGGCGAAUCAUCUUUUUGGCGCAUAAUUGAUGCCUUUUGGUACCUUAGUUUUUCAAUCUCUUUUGCUAGAAAGUCCAAAGUCGUGUCUGUGACAUGGUUUGGCAAGCAGCCUGCGUCCAACAUCAUUUUUAAGAAUUUAUAUGCGUCUUUCAACCGACCUGUCUUGCUAUGAACUUCAAUCAUAAUAUUAUAAGUGACCACAUCAGGAUUUAAUCCACUAAUCUUCAUCUGUUCGAAAAGAUUGUUAGCUUCAUCAAUCCUACCAGCCUUUCCCAGUGCAUCAAUCAGGGUGUUAUACAUAACAAUGUCAAGGUAACCACCUUGCUUCAUUAGCUUAUCUAGAACGGAGCUGGCUAGAUCUGCUCUCCCCAUUUUCCCCAACCCUUGAAUCACCAAAUUGUAUGUUGCGAUGUCUGGUGGGCAAACCUUUUCACCCAUUUCAUUAAAAACAUCCCAUGCCCUAUUGAAAUAACCCUUCUUCACAAAAGAACUCAUGAUAGAAUUGUAAGUGUAACUCACAGGGUCCACGCCCAUAUCAGUGAAUAUCUCAAACAACUUGCAGGCUAAGCUCAGCUUUCCCUUGGCCAAAAAUAUAGACAAGAACGUAUUCACCAUAUCAAUAUCAAAAGAGCCUGCCCCUUUAGCUUGAACUCUCUGGCCCCUAGCCAGCGAAAAUAGCUGAGAAGAAAGGUCAGUGGAUUUCGCUUGAUUGGCCAAAUGAUCCAUGUAUGGAGAUGAUGACCACUGAUCAGUGUCAGCAGACGAACUCUUCUCAUCCUCAGUCGCACCAUCAUCUGACCUUGACUUAGGGGAACUUAUUGAACUCAUAAUUUCCUGGAGGCCACCAGUAGAUGGAAACAUGGGAGUAUAAUCCUCUCUACUUCUUGGUGGAUUUUUCAAUGAAGCCUCCAUAUCUGCCCUCCAUUUGAGAACAUUUGGUAAUAGAUUAACAUCCCUUAUGUGCUUCAUCAACCUCUCUGUGCAAUCCCACCUACCUUGUUUAUGAAAUGCAAUCAAGAGCGAUGUUAUAGUGAUUAGGUCAACAACAAAGCCUCUUUCCUCCAUUUCUUCAACCAAGUGCAGUGCUUCCUCAAGAUGACCUUUCCUACAAAGUAGCAACACAACAAUGCUGUAGGUAACAGCAUCCACAAAUUGACCCUUCUUCUUCAAACCACAAAAUAAAUUGUAACCAGCUUCAGCCCUGCCAUUCUUGCACAACCCAUCAAUCAGAAUAUUGUACGUCCAACAUGAGGCCCUUACUCCAUCCUGAACCAUCUUCUCGAACAACUGGCAUGCUUCCAUAACUUUCCUUGCCUUGAACAUCCCAUCUAAAAGAGAAUUGUACACUACGGUAUCUGGAAGGAACCCAUUGUACUGCAUUUCACUAAAAAUCUUUGUUGCGUCUUCCAUUUGAUAAGAUUUACAGCACCCUUGUAUAAGUAUUCGAUAAGUAAAGGCAUCGGGCUCAUGACCAGACACCUUUAAUUCCUCAUACACAAUCACUGCGUCCUUCACCUUCCCAGCCAAGCAUAGAACAUGAAUCAGGCUAUUAUAGGUGCACAAAUCAGGAUCCAAUGACCCAGAAGCCAAACUCUUUUCCUUCAUCUCUUUAAAAAGCCUCAAAGAAGUAGUCAGAUCACCCCAACAACCAAAUGCAUGAAUGCAGAUGUUAUAACCCCAUGUAUUCAACUCGAACCCCCCUUUUCCCCUCAAUUUAGCAAAAACAGUUUUGAAUUCUACUUUCAUUUCUCCAUUUCGAAGCGCAACCAACAAAGCGUUGCAUGCUACGGAGCCCGGAAGUGAAACACCAACAGCAUUCUCUUCAUUACCAUCAGAAGCUUCUAGAAGCUUAAACAUUAUAGACAAUGCUAAACCCACCUGGUUUUUCUUAGCAAGUGCAACGAUAAUAGAAUCAUACAUAUGGGGGUUCGGGUUAGAUCCUAAUUCCUCCAUGUGAUCAAGAAUGUCAAGUGCAGAGUCAAACUUCCCAGAUCGAAUAAAUGCAUCAAGCAACAACUUAAAAGUCUCAGACCCAACAACAACACCAUCAUUCUUCAUUGAAUUCAGCAAAUCAGGAACUUCAUCAAGGUACCCAGAACGGCACAAAGUGGAAAACAUUUGAGAGUAUGUGCUCACCGAGUGUUUGUAAAUAUGCCGGACAGAACACCAUUUGAAAAAUUCCAUUUUCUUAGAGCUGUCAAGAGAGUUCCUCCGUAGGAUUUGGAGAACCAGAGAUUCUGAAAGAGGAAUUGAAUCUGGGUCCAGACUACGAGUGCCGGACUCGGAGAGGGUCUUGGUUAGAUAAGCCACCAGGAGUAUGUUUCCCAUUUGGUACGAUGACGAUGAAGAUGUUGAUAGAGGGGUUCUUGCGUGGUGUAAUGUGUUUGGUUUCGGGGUUUCCUUUGGGAAUCCAAAACAUGAAUGUCUUAGUUGUCUGGUUGUUGUUCUGCAUCUUGACAUUGCUGCCACCUGAUUCUUGUUUGAAAGGAUUAAAAGGCUGUGAAGUUGAACUGAUUUCUAAGUAAUAAAUUUUAUUUGAUUUCAUUUCUCAUUAAAGAAGUCUAAUGUUUGGAAUGAAAUCUUCAGUGAUAGAACUGAACUAGCCUCGGUGCCUGGUUUUACCGCGAGUCUGUAUUAUUUAAAAACAAAAAAAUAUUCAGGCAUUUAAAUGGGAUAAAAUAAUGAUAUAAAAAAUUAGUUACGAUAAGAUUGUAACAAGGCUGAUUAAAGUUAAGUUAACGAGAGAUAUUUUGUUAAACACGCUGUACAAAUUAUAUAAUUGAAAUAGCUUAAUAAAAAUAAAAAGAAUUAUAAUUUUUUUAAAAAAAUAUGUUAAUUUUUUAAAUAUAUGAGUCAAUUCAUUAGAGUUGUCACACUCAAUCAAAAAAAGUCAUAAAAUUUAAUUUUUAAUAAAUUAAAUAUAAAAUAAUAAAAUAAACUAUACAGAAAAUUUUAAAAAAUAGAAAUAUAAAAAAUAAUCAUCAAAAUUAUUAUUACUAUUAUUGUUAAUAAGUUAUAUAAUUAUUAUCAUCAUUAUCAUCGUUGUUGUUGCUAGCAUUAUCAUUAUUAAUAAUAAUAAUACCAGUUUUAUUGAUAUCGUUUUUAUUUUUAUAAUAAUAAUUAUUAUUAUUGUUACUAUUAUUACUAUCACUACUACUAUUAUUAUUAUUAAUAUUUUUAUCAUCAUUAUUCUUCUUCUCCUCCCUAUUAUUAUUAUGGUUAUAAUAUUAGUAAUAAUGGUAUUAAUAAUAGUAAUAAUAAUUUUAAUAUUGAUAAUAAUAAUAAUGAUGAUGGUGAUUAUAAUAUUAAUGAUACUAAUUCUUUUUUUUAGCCAUGAUUUCAAAUAAAAAAUUCUGUGAAAAAAAUUAAAAUCUGUGAACUCAAUUCUUUUAAUUAGAUUUCUUUCCAACCGUGAAAUUCAGGUGAAAUUGAAGAAUUGAAAUCAAUUCCGACACAAAACUUGAUUUUCCGAACAGCCUAAAAGUUUGUUCAUGUUCGCAUUCUCAAAAAACAUUGCAUUAUAUUAUUAUUAUUAUUAUUUGAUAGAAAUGAAUGUUCAUGUGAAAACAUGAACUUAAUGCCCGUGGAUAGCACUGUAUUUUUUCAAGAUUUUAGAAAGUUAUCUAAUAGAUAAUCUAGUGGUAAGAAUUUAAGAUAAAAAAAUUUAUUUUUUUUAUUGUUUCAAGUAAUUUUAGCAUUUGUGGGAUUAGUCGAGGUAUGUACAAGUUAACCCGGACACCCACAUUAAUAAUAAUAAAAAAAAAAUCAGGAAGUCUUUUGAUCAUCCCAGCACAGUUCCUUGUAUCAUUUUAUUUGUAGAAUCAAGAGAUUAUCGAGCUUCACCCUUAUAUGAUACAGUUGCAGGUUUGACUAGGUGGCUUCUCAACCGAAGGCUUUAGUCCUUUGACACCUUCUAAUUAUUCUACGAGAUGACAUGUCCGCGCGCUGCUGCAGGUUUAUAAAAUAAAUGUAUUUGAUAGUAUUAUAAUUAUAAAUCAGCGCUAGAUAAGUAAUAGAAAUUAAAGGUAUGAUGGAGCAAAUAUUUCAUGAUGAAAAAAAAGUUGUGUUGGUAAUCCAAAACUUAGAGACUGAACAAAAUGAUUUGUAGUAAUUUACAGUGUUUUGUGAGGAAAGAUAUAGUGCUUUCGCCACAUAAUUUAGCUUUUCAGUUAAUAAAAAGAAAAAAAAUUAUAAAGCUAAAUUCUCUACCAACUUAAUAUUAAAAAAAAACCAACAAAGAUAAUUUUGGAAGGAAAAAAACCCAUGAGAAAAAACGUUGUAGCAAUUGACAAUGUUUUGUGAGGAAAACUAUAACGUUUUUCUCAAUAAAAUAAAAUAAAAAACCAUUUAGAGAAAUAUUGUAGCAAUCCACAGUGUUUUGUGAGAAAAACUACAACGCUUUCCUUAUAUGAUUUAGUUUUAUUGUAAUUAUAAUUCUUAACCAACUCAAUAUUAAAAAAAAAUCGACAAAGAUAAUUUUGGAAAAAAUCAUUAAAAAAUCACACGGAAAAAUACUGCAACAAUUCACAGUGUUUUAAAGAAAAAAAUUAUAAAGCUAAAUUCUUAAUCAGCUCAAUAUUAAAAAAAAUAAUUCGACAUAGACAAUUUUAGAAAAAAAAAACAAAACAAACACCAAAAAAAGAAAAAACAAAUCAUGUUGGAAAUACUGUAGCAAUUCACAGUGUUUUGUGAUGAAAGCUACAAUGCUUCCCCACAUGAUUUAGCCUUAUUUGUAAUAACUUGUAAUUGUAAUUCACAAACAACUUAAUAUUAAAAAAAUAAAGUUGAAAAGGAUAAUUUGAAAAAAAUUAUAAAAAAAACCAUGUGGAAAAAAACACUGUAGCAAUAAACAAUAAUUUUCAAAAAAAGUUACAGUAUUUUUCUCACAUAUUGUAACUGUAAUUUUUAACCAACUCAAUAUUAAAAAAUAAAAUAAAAUAAAAUAAAGAUAAUUUUGGAGGAAAAAAAACCAUGCGGAGAAAUACUGUAGCAAUCAACAAUGUUUUAAAAAAAAAAUACAAAACCAAAUUCUUAAUCUGCUCAAUAUUAAAAAAAAUCGACAAAUAUAAUUUUGAAAAAUAAAGAAAUAAAAUAGAAAAACUAAGUGGAAAAACAUCACAGCAAUCCACAGCAUUUUAAAGAAAAAAAUUACAAAGCAAAAAUUUUAACCAGGUCAAUAUUUAAAAGGUAAAAUCAACAAAAAUAAUUUUGGAAAAAAAACAAAAAAAAAGAAAAGUUAAAAAAAAAAACAAACAAACAGGGAGAAAAAUCACUAUAGAUUAUUGUUGUAAUCCACGGUGAAAUGUGUAUGAGAAAAUGAUUCCUCCACACCCCAUUUAGAGUAUAUUUUAAUACGAAUAUCACUCAAAAGGACUGAAUGCUGGACACGACAUUUGACCUUCUAAUUACUGUGGUUCAACCAGAUGUUUGAGUAGGAUGACAUUUGACAGAGUUUCGGUCAUCCCCACUGCAAUUCCUUCAAUGUCGUUUUCAAUCCAUCGGUGUAGGAAAAAUUCAUCAGUAAUUAAGACAUAAUUCAAAAGGUCAAUGACUUCGACUCCCAGAUUCAGCAAAGCAUACAUAAUUUUGUUUUUAAAGAUCAAAUAUGUAGAAAUACCCAAUAUUUUAUUAUCAAAAUGUAGAAAUGUUUUUAGAAGAAUUGCAGAACCUUCCUAAAACAUGAUUAUCCAUUAUUGUCUGUUGUGAUUACCUUCACUGUUUACAUUUACUUCGAGGACACGUAUAUCAAAAUCGAUGAAUAAGGUUACAAAUAUGUGAAACAUUUCCGCUUCUUACUUCCUCGGUGUUAAGCCAUCUCAUGUGCUCGUUACUCAGGGCUGCCAACCUGUUUCUUUCUACGGACUUCUGUUCAAAGGAAAUGAAAAGGAGUAAGCAAACAAGGGAUGGCAUGAAACAGAAAACAGGAAUGCAUCGCCUCCUGACCAACAAAACAUUUGCGAAUUCAUUCCAAUGUGUCUUUUUAAUUCUUGUAGGUGCAAGUAUAAGUAUUAAUGAUAUGGUUAUCCUCUCAUUGGAGAGUAAUAUAAUAUAAGUUAGAGUUCCCUUCCUACCUUCUCUCCUAAUUUUCACUAACAACAGUUAC
rnacentral:lncRNA from 1 species